GCAGCUCAGUGGUUAGAGCAUCCCACUGGUGUACGGAAGGUCAUGGAUUCGAAUCCCGUCGGGGACU
rnacentral:tRNA from 1 species